rnacentral:misc_RNA from 1 species
UAAUCUUAGAUGGCCAUACUGAAACUUGUUUUCGGUUUGGUUCAUUCUUUUUUUACUGUGAACUGUUUUAAUUUUUAGCACUUGAGGAAUGUUGGCAAGCCAUAGGGAUAGGCUAGUCAAAUGUUAACCGAGCUAAAGUCAGGCCUAGGCCUGGUAUCCUAUUAUUAUUUACCAAAAGAAUUCAGUAUUAUUAUUGUAACAUAAGCGUAAAAAACUUAUAAAAACAACUUUUAACAACGGAUCUCUUGGUUCU